AACAACACAGCCGAAACCGCCACCACCACAACAACAACACAGCCGGAACCGCCACCACAUCAUUACCGUACACAAUACUACAUUAGAGCGAUCGGAUGUGUCGUGUAAUAUAUUCUCCUUAUCUUUUCUUUUACUUGCUUGGAGCUUAGAAAAUGAAUAAAUGUGAUUUGUAUGUUUGAUUUUUUUUUUUUUGGAUUUUGUGUUGUGCAUGAUAAGGAGAGAGAGUUGAAACUUGAAGUUUUUGAUUUGUUCUUUCUUCUGUAACAACACAAAAGAGAAGAGGUUAAAAAAAUUGUUUUCAUUUUUUUUAUUUCCUUGCCAUGUGUCGAGGGGCCACUGACCCAG
rnacentral:lncRNA from 1 species